rnacentral:piRNA from 1 species
UGGUAGACUCAGCAGAGUAUGUGAAU